UACAGAGGGGGCAAGCGUUAUUCGGAAUUAUUGGGCGUAAAGGGCGCGUAGGCGGCUUUGCAAGUGACGGGUGAAAUCCCUCGGCUUAACCGAGGAACUGCCUGUCAGACUGCAUGGCUUGAGACCAGGAGAGGUGAGUGGAAUUCCCAGUGUAGCGGUGAAAUGCGUAGAUAUUGGGAGGAACACCAGUGGCGAAGGCGGCUCACUGGACUGGUACUGACGCUGAGGCGCGAAAGCCAGGGGAGCAAACGGG
rnacentral:rRNA from 1 species